rnacentral:rRNA from 1 species
GACGAACCGUGCGAACGUUGUUCGGAAUCACUGGGCUUAAAGGGCGCGUAGGCGGGCUGCCGCGUCCGGGGUGAAAUCCUCCCGCUCAACGGGAGAACGGCCUCGGAUACGGGCGGCCUCGGAGGGGGGUAGGGGCAUCUGGAACUGUGAGUGGAGCGGUGAAAUGCGUUGAUAUUCACAGGAACUCCGGUGGCGAAGGCGAGGUGCUGGACCCCAUCGUCGACGCUGAGGCGCGAAAGCCAGGGGAGCCGAACGGGAUUAGAAACCCCGUGUAACGUC